rnacentral:lncRNA from 1 species
UCUUGGGCCACUCCCAUGACAUAUGGAGGUUCCCAGGCUACGGGUCGAAUUGGAGAUGUAGCCGCCAGCCUACGCCACAGCCAUAGCAACUUGGGAUCCGAGCUGCGUCUGCAACCUACACCACAGCUCAUGGCAAUGCCAGACCCUUAACCCACUGAGCAAGGCCAGGGAUCGAACCUGCAACCUCACAGUUCCUAGUCGGAUUCGUUAACCACUGCGCCACUACGGGAACUCCUUAAUCUUCUCUUCUUACAAAGACAUCUGUCAUAUUGGACUAGGACCCACCCAUAUAUCUGACCUUAUUUUAUCAUUCUUAGCUGUUCAAAGACACUAUCUCUGGAGUGAAGUUAAGGAUCUGGCACUGUCACUGCAGCAGCUCAGGGAUGCUGCUAUGGCAUGGAUUUGUUCCUGGUCCACAAACUUCCACAUGCCAUGGGUGUGGUCAAAAAAUAAUAAUAAAGACCCUGUCUCCAAAUACAGCUAUAUUCUGAGGCACUGUGCAUUAGGACUUCAAAAUGUGAAUUGAGAGGGGACACUAUUCAGCCCAUAACAAUUAUAUUUCAUUCUAAGGGAAUAUUAUCAACCAAGUGAGGAAUGCUAAAUGUCUUAAAAUCUCUGCUUCCUCACUUCUCUACAAGCUGCUUGUCAUUUUAUGGGGUUAUUAAUAUCUCCACCAGCCAUCUAGUUGAUGCUAGGAGGAUGUAACUCAAAAUCAUUUUAUUAUUUACUCAGAUACGUUUUCUUCCUCAUUUAUAAGUAUUGUAAAGUUAAUACAAGUGAGAAAAAAAUUUGUCUGGUAUUUCACCAACCGUAAUGAAGUAUACUCUAACAUUUAUAAUUGCUAGUUCAGUUAAGUACUAUGUAAGAAUUCACAGGUGAUAUUGUUAUAAAAUAAUGAACCAGAUGGAAACGUUUGCCUCAUUACUUCUUGGUUAUUUCCCAUAAAGUUAAUACUUCACUACCUGAAUGGUUUGGAAGAGAACAACUCUUCCUUUGCUGAAUCAGGGAAUCUGAUUAUCACACAUCAUUAAUCUAAUGACAAAGAGCCUUUUUUAAAAAAAUGAGUAGGUCAAACAGUCUUAGUGAGAUCAACUUUUAAUGCUGUACCCAUUAUUUUCACGACACGUAUAUUUUUAAAAUGCCUUCAAAUUUACAGAGCAUUUUCCCAUAGUUUUCCAAAAAAUUUUCACAAGUAUAAAUUAAAUGUGUUCUCAUUCUCAUUUACAGACGAGGAAACUGAGGCUCAGAGGUUUUUUUGUGUGACAUGUCCAGGGAUAUAGUUAAUAAAUAGCACAGCUAGGACUAGAACUGUCUGAUUCUAACCCAGAGCUGACCUAUUUUUUAAUAUCCAUACUAAUAUCAAUUUCUAAAUGAUCUCUCCCAAAAUAUGCCUUCAUGAGAAAAGGAUUUCACGGUCAAAUACAUUUGGAGAAAACUGUCUGCUAAAUUCCUCAUUGGUAGAAUCACAGACUUGUUACUUUUAAAGGCUGUGAGGACUACUGAAUUAAUGAAGUCCAUUUAACAUUGUUUAAUCUAAACUUAUUCCCAGGUUUAAUUAAUCAUUGAAAUUUUUUCCCCAUGUAAUUGCUACUAACAUCCAGAGUACCUGCAUUAAUAACUGUUCUAAAUGAACAACUUUUUAUCAACUAUGUUAAAAGGCCUAGGUGCUACAAAAGGCCAUAUUUCAGAGGAGAGUUUAGGAAAAUUAGAGCAGGAAAGUGUCCUGAAAAGAACAAAGGAAGUGUUUGCUUUUAUUUUUUAGUUUGUAGCCAAAAGAAUUUGCUACGCUAUAAAUGCCAUAAAAGUAAGAACUACCUCUACACUUUUUAUGAGACAUGUAGUACAAUCCACAAUUAAAAAUAUAUGUUUAACGAAGAAAAAUGACAUGAAUUUCUCAUCAGUACUAUCAGCCAUAAACAAUUUUUUAUCAGAAAACAGAAAAAAACUAAGCUUAUUUUUCUAUUUGACAAGCAGCAUGGCACUGAGGUGGUAUUCUGAUGUAAAAAGAUCGUUUGGAAGAAAAAAAGCUUUUUAAGGGUCUUUAAGGGACUUUCUCAGCAUCAUCACUUAAUGACUUGAUCAAUGCCCCAUGCAGAAUUUUCUUAAAGGGUCACAUUAAUGCAAAUGAUGUACCAGAGGGUCUUCAAAUGUAUUAGAAAAUAUUAAUCUUGCAAUUGAAGAGAAGAAAAAUUGUUUCCUAAUGGUACUUUUUUUUCCUUAAUAAUCAAUUUUCAUUCCUUUCCCCCCUUUUCUAGUCAUUCUCAUUCACUUACUUUAACCAACGUGAAUUCCUUAUUUCAGAACUCUUACAGUAAAAGAAUUUCAAAAGUCAGGCAGAGUGGGUGGAAAUUGAUAGCGUGAUAUAUAAAUUCUUCAGAUGAGUAUUAAUUUAGCAGAUUCUGCUCCUCUCUCCCUCUACCAAAGUGGAACAGAAAGCUGAAAUCUAAAGCGUUUAAUUAUACCACAUUUCAGUCAGUUCACUAGAUUAUAUCCCUUAGCUCCAUGAAUUGCCCAUGAGUGAGAACUCUGCUUGUGACAAAAGGUCAAAAACAAUUUUGAACAAUACAAUUUUUCUUCAAAUAUUUAGUUCUUGCCUGCAUAAUUAUCUACAUGUACACAUGUGUAUACACACACACACACCACAUACAUGGAGUUUAGCAACUUCUCUUUCAAAAAAUAACAUUGUCAUUGGUAAGAGAAUUUGAAAAGCCAGCAGCCAUUGAGAAAAUCUGAAAACAGCUUGGGGACUACCAAAUUAUAGCACACUUGGAUUUAAUCCUAGAGCUUGCUCCCUGUUACCCUUAUCCACAAAUACUAGGAAUUUCAUCUUGCUCUAACUGCAAUGCCAGAUCCAAGACAUGUCUGUGACCUCCACCACAGCUCAUGGCAACACCAAGUCCUUAACCCACUGAGUGAGGCUAAGGACCGAACCCAUAUCCUCAUGGAUACUAGUCGGGUUUGUAACCUGCUGAGCCACAACAGGAACUCUUUACACGCAAGGAAAUAUUUAACGGCUCAUCUGCAGUUUUAGGAGAGUGAAGCAGGAAUGAAAAAUUGGGUCGGUUUCAAUUCAAAUAGAUGUUGUCGUACAUGAGUCUCUUUAAACUAAAAACAGAAAAGCUAGGAAUCUGUUCUGUGCAGUUUUGGCAAUCGACGUU